GUUUGAACUGUAAAAAGAAUUGUAACCAAGAAACAGCUAUUAAAACCACAGCAGUAGUGUGUGGGCUUGGAUCUUUUACGGAAAGUGGACAAUGCCAAAGCUGUGUUAAGUAUGGGGUCUAAUAUUCACUUUUUCUGUACAUCUUCUGAAUCUUAAUGGAUUUUUGGUAGAUUACUCUAUUUGUGGAGAAUACGGAUUUUUAGUUUAUUCAAGUAUUUAGCAUGUAGGUUAAUGGGUUGUGGUUUUCCUGUGCAUAAGUUUUAGCAUCCGCAUCAGAAUUUCCUGCAUUUGUAAUAAUGUUCACCAGCGUUAUUAGCAACGAAACACUAUUUCAGUUUCCAGCACACCAAAGAAUGUGAUGAAUCUUUUUCUUUUAAAUCUUGUGAUUAUGGAAAUGUUUUUAUGGUAAAUGCGUUUGUAGUUAUUUAUGUUUUGCAUAUGUUUGUCAUGAAAGUGUCUUGGGUCAAAGCACAAGUUAAGUAUAAAUGCUCUAUUGCUUUAAUGUAAUUUGUUGCAGGUAUAAGUGUAAGAAUGAAUCCUGUAAAUCUUUUUGUUCACAUACCACAGCUGAAACACAAGGUAUCACAACAUGUAUAAUUAGAAAAAUGAUAUAUGCAGACCUUUCAAGUAAGAAAUACAGAGGUUAAAUUUUGUGAGAUAUAUUGUCCCUUUUCUUAGAUUUACCUGACCCGCUGUUGCUGGUGUUACUGGUCAUUGUGACCUUAUUGGGUGGUCUACUCUCUCUUCUUCUCAUCUGGCUCUGCAGACGGAGAUGGCUUUGCUGUCGAGCCAGAAUCUGGAAUGUUGGCAAACAUCCACACAUUCAGAUUCAACCAGAUCAACCUAAUGAUGUAAUCAGCAUUCCCACAGCAAUGGAAAGAAAUGGAGCCACUAUUAAAACUUUACCAGUGACCAGCUACCCACACAGCGUCCUCAGUGGAGAUUUACAGAGCAUCAUGGCCCCCCUGAUAGCAUGUGGAAACCCAAAAUUGAUGCAGGUGUUGCAGAAAGAGUCCUGGCCAGCACCAGUGCUCUACACUGUCAUAAGAGCAAUUCCCGUGAUGCGCUGGAAGGAAUUUUUACGACUGCUUUCUGUGUCAGAUGAUCAGAUGGAACGGAUCGAACUGGAGGCAGGCCCAUCCUAUCUAGAAAAGCAGUAUCAUAUGCUGCGUCUGUGGAGCCAGAGCAGCGGAGCGAAGAUGGAGAAUAUCUACUCAACUUUACACUACAUGAACCUGUCAGGCUGUGCCCAGGAACUGCAAGAGAAGCUAGAACAAUUGCAAGCAAGCAUGUAAAACUGACUCAUCUUCACUCCAUCUCCUCAUGUGUGCGAGCUGCAGUUGCAUUUCAAAAUCAUUUCCAAGGAACUCUGAACAGAAGACGCUCUGUCUUCUGAACAGAAAACCCUCAGUCAUGGUUAAAAAUAUUCUU
rnacentral:lncRNA from 1 species